UAUAAGGAGAUAAAAGAACUUCAGCAUUAUAAAUGGAGUUCUUUUGGAAGCAAUGAAUCAAUCAAGAUGGUUGUUCUGUCUCUGAAAGUCAAGGUCUCUUCAGAUCUAGUGAAGAAGUCUUCUUGAUCUUCCUGAAGCUUCUCCCCAGCUAUCUUCUUCUGUGAUAACAUGCUGCUCUGGAUAUUUGUACAGUCACAGUAUUGAAUGAGUCUGGUAUAAGAAGGUCCUUCUGGAGCAGAGGUAGAAGAGAAAGAUGGUCUCUGCUGUCAAGGAGCCUAUCCUCUCAUCAGCGAUGUUGGACACAAAUACCCACAAAGUUAAACCAAAAUGUAUGGCCCUGAUUGCUGGAAGAUGCUGAGGAAGAACAGAAGGAAGACAAUUGGCCCACUUUGGGGAAUUCAAGGAAGGCUGCCUGGAGGAGAGGAAGCUUGAGCUGAAUGUUGGCAGUGGAAAAGGAGUGAGGAGGACAGGGGGAGCGCAGGAGUCCAGUGGAGCUGUUCCCCCUUCACCUUGGAGGAGACGGAGCCUUGGUGGUGGAGGGAGCCGCUCGCUGGGCCGGCUUCGGCAGGGGCCAUGGCGUCCCUCCGGAUGAAAGGCUCAGCGGAACUUGAAGUCAUUAUCGUGAUCAAGGACGCAGGGAACCGUUUCGGCGUGUAAAUGCAGAUGCUCUCUUGGUUUCUGUGAUAGAUGUGUUCCCAGUGCCAAUGCAGCAGUGUGUUGAAUUCUUUUUAAAAUCUG